GCUGAGGACCACUGGCAGGAAGACCAGGCCGUGCAACAGGCCCAGCAGGGUGAUGAGGAGGUUGAGGCGGAAGAAGAAGAUCUGGAUGAGCUGCGCCUUGGCCAGGCCCAGGACGAGGAUGCCCGGCAGGUUGAUGAGGGACACGGCGUUGUAGCUGAUGCCCCACAGGGCCAUGAAGCCCACGGUGUCCACGAGGAUCAUGAUGAUGGAGAACAGGUUGAGGAGGCCGGAGCGCAGGUCCAUGCCCAGCAGCAGGCAGCAGACAGCGAACGUGGGCAGCAGGCACAUGGCAAGCAUGAAGAGGCCUUCGGGGACCACCGUCAGAGGGAAGAUCCAGAAAGGGAGACAAAACCCUGCAAGUAGUUCACCUGACAGGGCUGUGCUGUGGGUGACCCCUGGGCAGGUGCAAUAGCCAUUCGCUUAACCAGGUCCCAAAUCCACAGAGGUGCUAUACGCUGCCAGUCCACUGCCAGAAAGUCAGAGCGAAGGCUUCAUCAAGGCCAUGGCCACACUUGGGGACCGUCCCCCGCCAGCACCCACCCCAGGCUUACCCUUUGGGACACUUGAUGUUGGGUGGGUCCUCCAGGAACCAGGGCAGGUAUUUGUGGAACUGGUCCACUGAUGGCCGGACGGGGCCCAGAGUGAAGUUCACACAGCUCUUCAAGCAGGCCAGGGAGUCUGCAAAGAGAGCGGGGGCUCUGGGCAGAGGUGUCACCCCCCCUCUGGCUCCAUUCCCACCAAGGUCCCCACAUACUUCCACCACCCAACAGCCAUGUAACACAUGUGGUCCGGAGGGGUCUGCCCUUGUCUCUGUAGGACAGGGCUGUGGAAACUGCUGGCAGCUGUAGGCAGGUGAGGAAGAGAUGUGCAGGGCAAAGAAACAACUCCCUUGGGCCUCCCCACUUCCCCUACAAGCGCAGCUGCUCUGGGACCAGAGCCACAUGCUAACCUGGCCCUCCACCACCCACCACCCUCGAGUGUUGGUGUGCCCAGAGAUCACCACUCAGGGGGCGCCUGCACAGUGGGGCGUGGUCACCCACACGUGUGCUCUGAGCCCACACCCCCACCCCAAUCGACCCUGCAAGUGGGCCUCGCCAGUCCACUCCUCUCUUGCCUCAGUUUCCCCAAGCUGUGUUGGGUAGGCCAUGAGCCCCCAGAGGCCCUGCACUCACUAACAGUCGAGGGGCAGAAUUUGUCUUUGUUGGCACCAAAGGCAUACAGGCGGCAGCAAGAGGACGGGGUCAGCCAGUCAAUGAAGUCAUCCACCCAGGAAGAGGCAGGGAUGGCCAGGAGAAGCUGUCGCAUCCUGCGCUCGAGCAAAUGGCAUUCAUUCCCGCCUCGCUGGAGAAGUUGUAGCCUCCAGUGGUGACGAAGUAGACUGGAGCCCCCACCUCAAAGUAGCGGUUCAGAAAGAGGAAAUAGUCGAGCAGCACAGCCCACAGGCGUGUGCACGUGGAGACAGGCGGUGUGUCAGGCACCUGCAUGGCCUGUUCCUUUCUCCCAAAACCUCUGAGCGCUGGAAGAGAAGACGGAGUACGAGAAGCCAGGAGUCCACCCCCGCCCCCAACCUAGACACAACUGCACAACCCGUCUGAUGGGGUCUGCAGCCCUGGGGGCAGUUGAGGGCUCGCAGCUUCCAGGGAAAGGCCUGGAUGGUGAACUGUGCUUCGUGUCAACACCUUCAGCUCCCAGCACAUGCAGGUGUCCCAGGGGCAGUUUGUAUACCGCUUGCAGAGUCCAGCGUGGGACAUAAGGACCCCACACUCUAUACAUGGCGGAUUUGCGUUCUGAUUGCCGGUCACUGAGUUUCUGAUCUCGGUGGUACAGAGUCAGGCUGUACCGUGGUCUCCCCCGCCUCCAGCUGGCCUGACUGCCAGGAUAUUUAAAUGGCAAGUGACUGGCUUAUUUUCCGCUUCAUGUUUCCCCUUUUUCUCCUUUGGGGAGCCAGCCAUUUAAGGAAUAGGACAUUCAAACGCAAAUACCGAAGUCACCGCACAUUACCAGGGAAAGGCACAGGCUCAUCAGACUUUAAUUUUAUACCACAGGCUAAUCUCCCGGACACAGACACAGCAACGUCACAUUUGGGGAAAAAAAAAAAAAAAGCAAACCUUAGAGAAGGGAGGAGAAUCUGAUCUUCAGAGUUACCAUAUGAUACAACUCAACUGUGUGUUUUUCAACAACAACAAAAAUCGCAAGACACACAAAGAAUCAAAGUGUGGCCCAUACCUAGGAACAAAAACUAAUCAACAGAUGAUCUUGAGAAAGAACAGACAGAAUCAGACAGAAACUUUAAAACAUCUGUCUUGGGAAUGCUUACAGAGCUAAAAUAAGAUGCGGACAAAGUCAAGAAAAGAAAGUAUGGACAAAGUGGAAAGACCACCAAAUAGAAGACAUAAAACGGAGACCAGGAACAAAUUCCAGAGCUGAAGAGAAGGAGAAAUACAGGAAAAAUUCUGUUCAUAGAUGACAUGAUGGUAUGUAUAUAAAACUAACAUUCCACCAAAAAACCCCUUAAAACUGGUAAAGAAAUUCAGCAAAGUGGCAAGUUACGAGAUCAACACGCAAGAAUCAGUUUCAUUUCUAUACGCAAACAAUGAAUAACCCAAAAAGGAAGCCAAGGGAAGUGCAGUUAUAAGAGCAUAAAGCGAAUAAAAUACUUAGGGAUUAACUUUACUGAGGGUGUGAAAGACCCGCAUGCUGACAGCCAUGCCAUAUCUCAGAAAGAAAUUAAGACACAAAUAAAUGGGGAGAUGCCUGUGCCCACAAGCUGGGAGGAUGAAUAUUAUCCAGGCCACCAAGGAGCCUCCAGCUUCAUUCAGUGUGAUGCUAUCAAGAUCCCAAUGACGUUUCUUACAGAAAUAGAAAAAUUCAUCUUAAAAUUCGUAAAGGACUCCAAAGAGCCAAAAUAAUCUUUAAAAAGAAUAAAAGUUGGAGGAUUCACAUUUCCUGAUCU